AGAGUUUGAUCAUGGCUCAGAAUGAACGCUGGCGGCGUGCUUAACACAUGCAAGUCGCACGAGAACGCUUCAGCUUGCUGAAGCUAGUAAAGUGGCGUACGGGUGAGUAACGCGUGGGUAAUCAACCUCUGAAUUGGGGAUAACAUUGCGAAAGCGAUGCUAAUACCGGAUAAUAUCCAUUGAACCUUGGUUUUUUGGAUCAAAGGUGGCCUCUACAUGUAAGCUACUGUUUGGAGACGAGCCCGCGUACCAUUAGCUUGUUGGUAGGGUAAUGGCCUACCAAGGCAACGAUGGUUAGCUGGUCUGAGAGGAUGAUCAGCCACACUGGAACUGACACACGGUCCAGACUCCUACGGGAGGCAGCAGUGAGGAAUUUUGCGCAAUGGGGGAAACCCUGACGCAGCAACGCCGCGUGAGUGAUGAAGGCUUUCGGGUCGUAAAGCUCUGUCAAGUGGGAAGAACCCGUGCCGCACAAAUAGUGCGGUGCGCUGACGGUACCACUGAAGGAAGCACCGGCUAACUCCGUGCCAGCAGCCGCGGUAAUACGGGGGGUGCAAGCGUUAUUCGGAAUCAUUGGGCGUAAAGAGCGCGUAGGCGGUCUUCUAUGUCAGGUGUGAAAGCCCUGGGCUCAACCCGGGAAGUGCACUUGAAACUGGGAGACUUGAGUAUGGGAGAGGGAAGUGGAAUUCCUGGUGUAGCGGUGAAAUGCGUAGAUAUCAGGAGGAACACCGGUGGCGAAGGCGACUUCCUGGACCAAUACUGACGCUGAGGCGCGAGGGCGUGGGGAGCAAACAGGAUUAGAUACCCUAGUAGUCC
rnacentral:rRNA from 1 species